UACGAAGGACCCGAGCGUUAUCCGGAUUUAUUGGGUUUAAAGGGUGCGUAGGCGGAUUAGUAAGUCAGUGGUGAAAGCCCAUCGCUUAACGGUGGAAUUGCCAUUGAUACUGCUAGUCUUGAGUAUGGUUGAGGUGGGCGGAAUGUGUCAUGUAGCGGUGAAAUGCUUAGAUAUGACCCAGAACACCAAUUGCGAAGGCAGCACGCUAAACCAUAACUGACGCUGAUGCACGAAAGCGUGGGGAGCAAACAGG
rnacentral:rRNA from 1 species